UACGGAGGGUGCGAGCGUUGUCCGGAAUCAUUGGGCGUAAAGGGCGCGUAGGUGGCCUGUUAAGCGUGCGGUGAAAGCUCGGGGCUCAACCCCGAGUCGGCCGUGCGAACUGGUGGGCUUGAGCACUGUAGAGGCAGGCGGAAUUCCGGGUGUAGCGGUGGAAUGCGUAGAUAUCGUAAGGAAGACCGGUGGCGAAGGCGGAUCUCUGGACAGUUACUGACACUGAGGCACGAAGGCCAGGGGAGCAAACGGGG
rnacentral:rRNA from 1 species